AUUGAACGCUGGCGGCAUGCCUUACACAUGCAAGUCGAACGGCAGCACGGGAGCAAUCCUGGUGGCGAGUGGCGAACGGGUGAGUAAAGUAUCGGAACGUGCCCAGUCGUGGGGGAUAACGUAGCGAAAGUUACGCUAAUACCGCAUACGAUCUAUGGAUGAAAGCGGGGGAUCGCAAGACCUCGCGCGAUUGGAGCGGCCGAUAUCAGAUUAGGUAGUUGGUGGGGUAAAGGCUCACCAAGCCGACGAUCUGUAGCUGGUCUGAGAGGACGACCAGCCAAGCUGGGACUGAGACACGGCCCAGACUCCUACGGGAGGCAGCAGUGGGGAAUUUUGGACAAUGGGCGAAAGCCUGAUCCAGCCAUGCCGCGUGCAGGAUGAAGGCCUUCGGGUUGUAAACUGCUUUUGUACGGAACGAAAAGGUUUGGCCUAAUAAGCUGAGCUCAUGACGGUACCGUAAGAAUAAGCACCGGCUAACUACGUGCCAGCCGCCGCCGUAACAC
rnacentral:rRNA from 1 species